rnacentral:lncRNA from 1 species
AGAGCUACGGUGACACUUCGCGUGCGGUGUAGGCGCAUCUUCGCUCUGUUGGCCGUGGCUUUAGUAAGCACACACCUGCCUGCUACUCUGGUUAUCGUGGCGACGGCAGGUCUGGAUUGCCAGACAGGUUUUUCUUUUUACCUCGAGGCUUUCUCUGAAGGGAGUCGGAGCAUUUAAAAGGCGGCCUCAAGGUGGAUUGAGUCGGGGGAGGAUUAGCAGUAUUUGCUUAGGUUGUAAAACCGCGACUUUAUCUAAUAAAUCGCCAUUCAAGGUGCAAAUACAAACUUGGAACAGAGAUGUAAAUGAAUUCCUCAAGGUCAGAGACUGUUUUUAUUCAUUUCUACAUCUCCAACACCUGGCAAAGUGCCUCGGCCAUAAAAGGUACUUGAUAAAUCUUGUUGAACUGACCUGACCUACUCUCAGUGAACCCACAUUUUAGUGGGAGAGACACCUUGCUGACAACUGAAAUAUUAUGUAAUGAAGUCAGUGCCACACAAGAUAUGUGUUCAAGGGGUUAUAGGAGCUCUGAGGAGGUACCACAUGUCAUCCGCCUUAUGAUGUCAAAAACUAAACUGUGAGGAAAUUGGAAAUAAGGUCAGAGUUACAUUGUGGUUCUCCAUGUAGGAAAAUAGAGAAAAGAGAGUCUUAUGCUAAUAUUACAUGUACUAUAAAUGCUAAGCAAGACUGUGUACUCUGGGUGAUCAUGUUCUUUUCCUCAAGCAUGAUCUCAUCAGAUUGUGG